AGAUUUGUCCAAGUUUCAAUACCUCUGUUCCCUAUGUGAAGAAUAAGAGAGGACGUAUUUUGUACAACCUCUCAGGGUUGAUUGUGGAAGAAUAUUUAGUGAGACCUUCCAACAAAGCAAGAUAUGGUGGUUGGUCUUUUGGUGGGAAGAAAGCUUCUGAAUAUCAAGAACAAAAACGGAAUAACGUCAAAUCUAAGCCUCUGGUUAAGGUGGGAGCAUAGGAAACCGUGAAGACCAUGUAACGAACAGAGUAGAAAAUGUGAAAGCUACUGUAAGCAAGAGCAGUGAUACUUGACCAAAGUUGGACAUUUGGGAAAAAAUACUGAAUGGAGCUUAUGGCAAAGAAGAUUUGAGGAUAAGAGACACAGAAGAAGGAUGGUCAAGCUCAGAUUAGUGUUUGACAGCAUGGUAUGGUAUAGGGUAGGGAGGGAGCUAAGUGGGAGGAUUUUGGUGUUUCGGACCUUGCCUCACAAGAGAAUACAGUGGGAAGAUCCAAGUAAGUAGAUAGUGUGGAAAAUAAAUUCAGAAGUAAAGAAUUAUUAGGAGAGGGAAAUAGAACUGGAGUAGAUAGCCUGCACUAGAAAGCAUGGAGAAGAUGACAGAAAAGCCAAAGUUUGCAUCUUAGUGCCCAAGUAAGGAUUUUUGCUGGAUUCUAAAAGGAAAAAACACACUAUUAUCUGCAACUAAAUUGAAAAAAAAAAAAGCACAGUAGCAUCAAGAAAAGGCAGAUAUAUGUGGAGGAGGACUAGAUGAAAAGAGCAUCUGAGUGAUGGAAAAGUAUUAUUCAUGGAAGUUUCCAAGACGUAACUGUAGUUUCAGAACAGGUUUAGGAAAAACGAAAUCCUGGAAGAUUAAGUUAAGGCAAGAGAGACCUACAUUAAAAAACAUAUACUUUGACAUGUUACUCAUAGUCCAGAGACAAAGUGAGAACUGCCCAGUGGCAACCUGAGAUGAACAAAAUGCAAAUUAGCAAAAUAAUUGAUAGCAAAUAGGAAAAGGAUAAGAGUUUGUCAACUGCAUAAACAAAAAAGGAAGAUUAAAGCUUGCUGUGCAGUGAGGAGUGGAUGGUAAUUGAAGAUGAUUUGAAAUGUGUUACCAAAACUGAAAACAAACUUCCUUUGUUUUCUCUGACCUAGUUUUCAGUAUGGAUAAUAUGGGGUUAAAGGCACUUUGAUUAGCAGUUAAGGAGGCAUAGAAAUGAAAUUGAUUUCCAAAGGAAAAGGAAAACUGAGACCUCAGUAUACUUGGUUUAAGGACAUAAUUAGCCUAUCGGCAUUGAUUCUUGCACAUGGAAACCUAAGAGAGUAUGCAUUUUGAGUAGAUUUAUCAAGUUGGAGCAAUUCUUCCUGAUUUGAAGCUAAAGUAUAUGUUACAUCAGAAAUGCUUCCUUAUGAUCCUCAGACUUGCCUUAUCUGCUUUAGAGUUUAUUGUAUUUACUUUUCUCCUCGCUCAGGAAACUAAGGAUAAUUGGUUGUUAAAGGUGAAGACACAACUUUUCCUUCAUGGCAUAGUUUCAUACUCACUGUGUAAGCAGUGCAUCCUUGUUUCUUUCUUUCCCAGCUUUCUUGGACGUGGUAUGUUUCCAGACAUUUUAUGCUAUAUGUCGCUU